UACGUAGGGUGCAAGCGUUAAUCGGAAUUACUGGGCGUAAAGCGUGCGCAGGCGGUUCGCUAAGACCGAUGUGAAAUCCCCGGGCUUAACCUGGGAACUGCAUUGGUGACUGGCGGGCUAGAGUAUGGCAGAGGGGGGUAGAAUUCCAGGUGUAGCGGUGAAAUGCGUAGAUAUCUGGAGGAACACCGGUGGCGAAGGCGGCAUCCUGGACCGGUAUUGACGCUGAGGCGCGAAAGCCAGGGGAGCAAACGGG
rnacentral:rRNA from 1 species